AUCCACCGAUGGAUGGACCUGCUUGACUAAUGAGGUGUAUGCUAACUAGCUCUUGGUUGACCUCGCCGUAUGAGGAUGACGCCAGAGACGAUAAGAUGGAAGUUAACGGUCUCUCAAUUGACGUCAUCAUGAGAUCACAACCAGGCAAGUGAGCAAGGGGAGGACAGGAAUUGGAAUCCACCCCUGAAAUCAACCCCUGGGGGGCCGCGAGGUGGUGCUAGGGGGACCGCGGCAGGUGCCAAACCAAACCACUGGUCUGUGCUUCUCGAUGACAGCAUCCCCUGAGGACCAUGGACCAAUGGAUGCCCUCGCUCCACUGAGGAGGCAUGGCCAGCUAGGCACCAAACGGGUUGUGGUCAGUAAUAAAUGCCACAUGCCACAUGCACGCUGGUUCCCCUGUGGUCAGUGUGUUCUGCUGACAAUAAACAUA